CCCUUAUGAUGAUUUUGCGCCAAAACCGCCCUACCUCUCCUUAAAAAGGAUACUGUACCUUACCCCACAUAAUCCGACGCGCGAAUCGUCUUCUUACAAACCUAUUACUGGUCAUGUCAGAUUUUAUUAUUAAAUUUCAUAGCGCAGUAUAAUUGAUGGACCCACAAUACACACACAAUUAAAAUUACAAUGAGCGACCAGCAGCACCCCCAAUUUUGGCUGAGGGUGAUAAGGACCGAAAUCUGUAGAUUAUUGAGGAGAUUCGACAAUUUUCAUUCGUCAUGCGGUUCCAAUCCAGUGUC